UACGGAGGGGGCGAGCGUUGUUCGGAAUCAUUGGGCGUAAAGGGCGCGUAGGUGGUUCUGUAUGUCUACCGUGAAAGCGUACGGCUCAACCGUAUUUUGUCGGUAGAAACUGCAGGACUUGAGGCUGGGAGGGGCUGGUGGAAUUCCCUGUGUAGCGGUGAAAUGCGUAGAGAUAGGGGAGAACACUCGUGGCGAAGGCGGCCAGCUAGACCAGUUCUGACACUGAGGCGCGACAGCGUGGGGAGCAAACAGG
rnacentral:rRNA from 1 species